rnacentral:rRNA from 1 species
CGCAGCUAACUGUGUGAAAUCGUGUGAACUGCAGGACACAUGAACAUCGACAUUUUGAACGCAUAUUGCGGUCCAUGCAAAAGUUUAAAUUUUUGUUUAAAUUGCAUGGACCACGUAUGGUUGAGUGUGGUA